rnacentral:rRNA from 1 species
GAUGAACGCUGGCGGCGUGCCUAAUACAUGCAAGUCGAGCGAACAGACGAGGAGCUUGCUCCUCUGACGUUAGCGGCGGACGGGUGAGUAACACGUGGAUAACCUACCUAUAAGACUGGGAUAACUUCGGGAAACCGGAGCUAAUACCGGAUAAUAUAUUGAACCGCAUGGUUCAAUAGUGAAAGACGGUUUUGCUGUCACUUAUAGAUGGAUCCGCGCCGCAUUAGCUAGUUGGUAAGGUAACGGCUUACCAAGGCAACGAUGCGUAGCCGACCUGAGAGGGUGAUCGGCCACACUGGAACUGAGACACGGUCCAGACUCCUACGGGAGGCAGCAGUAGGGAAUCUUCCGCAAUGGGCGCAAGCUUGACGGAGCAACGCCGCGUGAGUGAUGAAGGUCUUCGGAUCGUAAAACUCUGUUAUUCGGGAAGAACAAAUGUGUAAGUAACUAUGCACGUCUUGACGGUACCUAAUCAGAAAGCCACGGCUAACUACGUG